AACAAGAGCACCCUAAUGGCGCUGGUUCCGGGUUCUUCUUCCUCCCCAACACAGGCCCGCCAAAAGGAGCCAAUCAGAGGUCACGCCUUCCCGCCUCAGCCUAGACGCAGCCCCUCAGCCAACCAGCGACCCCCACGUAACGUCCCUAGGCAUAAAAGACGGAGGCUGCAGAGCCCUCGCUCUCUUUCUUCUUCCGUUUCGGCUCUCCCUCGGACUCCUCCAGUAAAGAUCUGGUGACUGCAACCGGUGUGGUGUGGUCUGAGUCUGAGCCUACAGAGUCACCCUUUCAACAAUAAUGAUGAUAUCUAACAUUUCUGAAGCGGUUCCUCUGUGCCAGACACUUUGCUAAGUGCCUCAUGCCUUUCAACUUAUAUUUAAUCAUCGCUGUUCUAGGAGACAGGCUGGUCUGGAACUCCUAGGCUUCAAGUCAUCAUUCCACCUUAACCUCUCUAGUAGCUGGAACUACAGGCAAGCACCACUGUACCUGGAAUGAAAUUUUGUAUCCUUGGGACCAACUUUUCCCCAACCUUCCUGGCAGCUCCUGGCCAAAUGGAAAUGGAGCCUUUUAUGAAGUUUCCCUCUUUUUAAGCUGGAAAGUUGGCAGUGACGUCGUUUCGAAGUGAGUCGGAAAGUCUGGGUUGGGCUGGCAACAUCACCCCUAAGAUGAGGGCCAUUUACAAGUUUGUUUAUAAAAAGUGGGAGAGCUGGAGCUGUGUUUUCUUGGCGCUGUGCUGGAAUUCUGACCACUCGAAGAUGAGAUCUCAUCCCAGGAGUGCUUGCUAGUGCCUCCUUCAGGGACCAACCCUGUCAAGUGGGAAGGCAUGAAGUUCAAGAAGUCAGCAUUCCCAGAGGCAGGCCAGCUUGCUUUCAUUCUGUCGUACUCGGUUUCCUUACUUUCCUCCUAACACGGUACCUCUGAAGCAAACGUUCCCCAGCACUGUCCCCUUCUAGAAAGACCUUGUAUGAGAACCUUAUCUUUGCACUGUCCCCUUCUAGAAAGACCUUGUAUGAGACCGCCGUUAGGGCAGACGGGAUGGAUUUGACCAACCCAGGUCACAAACCAGUGAUGAUGGAGAGAAUUCCAUGAGUUAGCCAGGGCGCAGCGGGACAGAGGGAACCUGGCUCCUUCCUUACAACAGCUUCUUGGAGCAAGGAAUCUUGGACAAAAAAAUAAAAGCACUGGACUGGUUCAAGGUUAUUUGUUCAACUUUACAUCUCUGUUCUGGGUCCCAGAGACACCAACGUACACAAGAUUCACUCCUUAUGUCCCAGGAGCCCAUGGUCUACCCAGGAAGACAGAGAGGGGAAAGAAGACCCAUUCUGUGAGGCUGAAUAACUGAGCUGUGGUUAGGCACCUGAAGAGAGCAGAGCCAGGGCAGACCCCAAGGAGGGGAACUGAGCUGAGCCUGGCACGAUGAACCCCAGCUUGCCCUCCUCCAUGGAGUGUGGAGAGGAGGCCCACAAAGGGCCUAGAAAUAUUCAUCGUGGAGCUUGGGAGAGAGGGAGAGAGGGGCCGCUCAAACUGUGUAUGUUGGUAUCACCGUUAUAAUUGCCUACACUUUACAAAAAGGCAAAACUGUACAAAACUGUCACUUUCUGAAAAGGAGACAGAAUUCAGAGGUGGAGAUUCCACCCAAGUACGGUCACGCACAGCUGCUGCUGGGAAGCCUCUCCAAAAUGAGUUGAAGGCCACAGACCUCGGAUGCUGGGCAGAUAGCAAAGACUGCUGGGCACCCCGGUGCCACAGGGUGCAGGAAGGUUCUCCCCCGACAGCCCCUUCCACGAACACCCUGGCACCUGCCCUGCAUGGUCCUGUUCCUGGGAACUUUCU